ensembl:lncRNA
UACUACGGGUAGAAACUCCCACCCCCUUAUGCUUUUUAUUUUAUACUUGAGUAAAACCAUAUAUAUGUCAUUCAUGGGCUUUUAGUUCGUGAGGACUUUUGUGCUAGAAUGAAAUGGAAAUACAUCAUUCUGCAAAUAUCCCCAGCUUUCAUGAGAAGGAAAUUUUUGCUCUCCCUCCCCUCACAAUGCUAACUGUCCAGCUAUGAAACAGGGGGCUACCUGCCCUCCGAGUGAGAUUUUAUUGCUAAAAUAGAGUAAAAAUUGUUUUAAAACAAAGAACACACAUAUUUAUAGUAAAACUCAAGUUUGUUUUACAAUUAGAGAAAAGUCACAUGGUCCCCCAAAAACCCCCAUUUUAUAUAUAUAUAUAUGUAUUUCGAAAAUAUAUUUAAAAACAUAAAAAACUCUAGUUAAACAUAUAUUAUGUUAAUCAGUACACUUAAAUAUAGCUUAAUUAUAUUUACAAUAUGACGCAGUUGCUUUUAAAUUUUAAUGCCAAUUUCAGUAUUUUCUCAAAAAAACAUAAAAUUAUAUAAAUAUACAAUAAAUAUUUAUGUUACACAAGAUGAAUAAUAGAAAACAAGGCCACAGACAUGAACUUACAGUUGCAAGAGUCCUUUAACACAACACUAGGCCUGCUGACAUGCAUGGAAUACUUCUGUCACCAACAGACCACAGCAAGAGUUUAAUGAAGUUUAAUUAAGAGUUUAAUGAAGUGAUGUGAAGGAAAACCAACCCUCCCUUCUCUGUCUCUGUGUUAACUAAAACUGCCCAGCCUGUGAGCAUGGACAUGUAAGGUCAGGCAUGGCAGAGUCAUGGGGCUGCAGGUUAAUUGCCAAUAUCAAUAAUAUCAGUUAUUGAUCAGUUACUGAGCACAGAGCUGGCAUGUUCUGGGGAAUAUGGCUCUGGUGUAGGUGCCAGACACAGCUCUCUGGGCUCCGAGCUCCACCCCUCAGUGCCCCCAGCUACAUGGGCUGUCCUUCACCCCUCUGAACCUACCAUCCCACUGCCCUCAUUCUGUGACACCUGCACCACCCUCACUGUGCCAGCUGAGGAUGUGUAAGUAAAGGAUAUAGCCACAGUUAACCUUGUUAAGUAAGGAGCUUUAUUUGUAGCAUGGUUUGUGCUUUAACACUUCUCUUUUGGAAAUUUCUUUGAACUGGUUGUUAUUUGAUUCCUGUAUAUUAAUUUGACUACUGUCAGGUCCUGACUACCUUUUCUCUUCCAGUCUAGAUGAGUGAUUUGUUUGUUAUUCACACAUCAGCAUCAUCCUUUCCUUCAAAGCAACCAGCCCUUGUUUUGAGAGAAGCCAACAUUACAGCACUUCUCUGCUGCAGAUGAGGAGUACUGCUGAGAACAGCUCCUGAGUCACCCUGGGUUUACUGAAUGCAAAUUACAUCACACACACAGGUGGGACCCCAGGGGAAUGAAAUGGUCAGGUGGAAGAUGUACAUGCCCAUGAUAAAAAUGAUCUUUAAGGUCCCUUCCAACACAAAACCUUCUUUGAGUCUAUUAUUUAAUUUGCAUGAAGAGUAUUGUAGAUGAAGUUUUGAGAAUUUCAAUAAGGUUUUGGGUUGGUUUUGGUUUUCUUUUUUCUGUGUGGGAAUCCCCAUCAUCAAUUGAUGGGAAAGGCUGAAGUUUGAAGCUCAGGUGGGUCACACAACCCUCUCUUCUCACUCACAGUCUGGUGUGCACAUGGCCACUGGCACUUUACAGGCAGUUAUCCUCAGGAGGGGCUGCCCUUCUACCCAAAACAGAAGAAAUCACUGAGGUGAAAGUGUCUGUUAGCUGCCAGCACGGGUUUCUACCAGUGAUGACAUAAAAUCAGUGAUAAAUAUGCUCUUCAAAGAGCAUUACUGGAGCCAACAUAUUUCAGUAAGCUUUGCCCAGUCAAAGUUCUAAUGAACACAGAUUCUACAGCAUUCAGAAGCAGAUUAUAUUUUGCAGCAUUCUCCUACUUGUUCAGCUAUUUUUUAAUCUCCAGGAAUUACAAAUAUAGCCUGAGCCUCCAGUCAGCUUACUAACAAGCUAUUUCAGUUCUUAGCCCACUAUGGCCACUGUGCUGUGCACAGCUCUCAGCCUCACAAUCUCUCUUUUUAGCAAUACUUCUGUCAGGACAGGGGGAUCACAGAGCUCAGAGCCUAAGCAAGCUAAGCCAACUCCUCCAAUACUUGCUCCUCACUUACUUCCAGAGUGGCUUUUUAGUGCCAGUGUUAGUUUCAUAAGGUAAGUCUGCUGGCAGAGGUGGAGCCACAGGAACACAAUGCCAAUUGCUCUCUGCUGGAAGCAGCUCCUCUCUGUCCCAUUCUCAAGCGGUUUCCAGGGCUUCUUCAGGCACAGAUGCCCCAGAGUUUGCUCUGCAGGCCUGGGGCUGCUGCUGUGCUCUGGAGGGAAGGGCAUCCACGCACAUGGCCAGCUCUUGCUAACAUAACGCACAGACCACAUUCAGUAAUGACUGCAACUGGGACAGCCUCAGUCAACCCAAAUCUCUGUUACUUGUUCCCAAACUGGCUGAGCUAUAAAGCCCCACACAAUCAGCCUCAUUUCAGAUCCACCAUCCUCUUUUCUAGACCCUUUUUCUAGUGACACUCUCACCGUGCUUCAUCAAGACAUUUGAUCCAAACAUGGUCUUUUAUUAUAUGAAAAUAAUUGCUCUGAACUCUAUAGAAUAUUCUCUAUAUGACAAGCUCCAGUUCUAUGGUAAAUGAAAUACUUAAAGAUCACAACCAAUGUCCCUCAAGAGUGAGAAAAGGGGGGAAAAAAAUUCUCAAAUACAAGCAAACAUGGUAUAAGCAAAUGCAUGUCUCAAAAGACA